AGAGGAGCUUGGACUAAAACCUGUCUCUGUCUUUGUCUCUGUGUUCACUGUUUAGUCGAACAGGUUAAAAUAAAUACAAUAUAUAAUGUGCUCUGGCAGAAAACCAAUUAAAGAGACAGCUCUUUAACUUGGAUAAUCAUACUUUGUAAAGGGUUUAGGAUGAAGUUGAUCAACUUGUUUAGUCCUUCAUUGUUGUGUUAGUGUAAUUUAAUAAGUCAGAGCAUGUGUGGGAAUAACAACAUAGAAGAAAGAAAAUAUAUCUGAAAAAAGACCAUUGUUAUAAGUUCAUGUUUCCGUUUCUGAUUAUUACUGAUGACACUUUGUUACUGUUUAUGUUAGACCAUAUAACAUACAUGUAGGGCUGGGCGAUAUGGGAAAAAGUUUAUCACGAUAUAUUUUUUUCAUAUCAGUCGAUAUCGGUAUAUAUUAUGAUAUGAAAAAUGACAUUUAACAGUGUUUAUUGAUCACAUGUCUUUUCCAACACAAUAAUGUCCUGCAUCUAUGAGGUCUUUGUGUCUCUUUGAUGUUUUGUCGUAAGGCGUCGCUCUAGAGAAAGCCGACUGUUUCAGCUGCACAGGCGCCAUGGGCUCCUUUAAUAAUAUAAUAAUACAUUUUAUUUAUAAGCGCCUUUCUGGACACUCAGGGACACUUUACAGAGUAAAAACAACAGGAUAAAAGCAGCAGAGAAAACAAAACAAAAUAGGGGAAAAAGUUUAUAUGUAUAAAUAAAACGAACAAAAAACAUGAUAAGGUAAAUUAUAAGGCGUGUGCUAAUCUAAAAAAAAAAGAGAGGGAGAGAGUCGAUAUUACGGAUGUCAGGUGGGGGCGACUCCGCUCAGGUUUGUAACCUUUUCCCCAACUUUACGAGAACAUGUACUCGACAUAAUUUACAGCACACAUUACUCUGCUUCAUGUCCGACCUCAGAAAACUAAAACACCUCCACACCACCGACGUUUGUGUCCUUCUAUUUCAUGUAAAAGCGUAUUAACCAUGUUUUAUAUCGAUGUAGAGGGAAAUUAAUUGUUAUCGUUUUAUCGCCCAGCCCUACAUACAGUGUGUUGUUCCUUCAUAGUGCAAGAGGACAGAUUGAGUGAGAAUAGUGCUGAUAUUUUACAAAAGGUCGACAUCAGGUGUUGGUUAGACUAGUCAGAUGGACAGGUAGACAGCUUGUGUCACUUAGACAUAUUUCACAUCUUGUAUAGCUCUAAACUCGGACCAUCAAACUCAUGUCUCUCCUUUGUUUAUGUCUGGAACGGUGUGUGUGUGUCUGUGUGUGUGUGUUCAUUCAUUCCCACUACUCUACCAGCUCUCCCUGUCUCUGUCUCUCAGCAUCCCUCCCAGUGCUGUUGUGGCCACUUAUCUGUAGAGUAGGCAUGAGCUCCCAGGCUUAAUUAAGCCCACAGGAACAGAUGGCCCGCUGGCAGUCUGUGCUGUUUGUCGACCGUACACCGCCGCUCUAAACAGAGCUAAAUACUCCAGCAGGGGAGGGGUUUGAGAGCUUGGACCGAGAGCCGGGAAGGGAUAGACCUGCCAGACGUAAUUAGCUGUGGGAAGUAGGUAGAAGAGGGGGAGGGCUGUCAGGAGGUACAAUGUGCCUUCUGUGUAUGACUGACUCUGUGACAUGAGCCUCGAAGGUGGUUUCAGUGACGGAGCGGUGGUCAGACUUUGGUUUCUGGAGAGUUAAGAAAAGAAGUUAUGAUCUGAUUCACUUUAUUUAGGAGUCUGGGUCAGAAACCUUCAGAUUCUUCCAUUUCAAUACAAAGAUUUAAAGACUCCCGAUACCUGAUAGACCUUAUCGACCAGUGCAGAAAUGAAUAUCAUAAAAUAAGUUUAUUUAAUCUGGUUUAAAACACUGAGAAAGAAGCAGAGUGUCCAGACACAAGCAGAGGUAAUGUCAGCUGCAGCUCAGCUCGCAGCCCCUGUGAUGUCCAGAGUCUGCUGAGGAGUGUGGAGGAACCCCGACAAUUCAAUCAACCAAUCAAUCAAUCAAUCAAACUUUACUUUUAAAGCACCUCUCAUACAUGUAAUGUAACUGUACUGUCCGUUCAAGCAGGAA